rnacentral:rRNA from 1 species
GAUGAACGCUGGCGGCGUGCCUAAUACAUGCAAGUCGAGCGAACAGACGAGGAGCUUGCUCCUCUGACGUUAGCGGCGGACGGGUGAGUAACACGUGGAUAACCUACCUAUAAGACUGGGAUAACUUCGGGAAACCGGAGCUAAUACCGGAUAAUAUAUUGAACCGCAUGGUUCAAUAGUGAAAGACGGUUUUGCUGUCACUUAUAGAUGGAUCCGCGCCGCAUUAGCUAGUUGGUAAGGUAACGGCUUACCAAGGCAACGAUGCGUAGCCGACCUGAGAGGGUGAUCGGCCACACUGGAACUGAGACACGGUCCAGACUCCUAGGGGAGGCAGCAGUAGGGAAUCUUCCGCAAUGGGCGAAAGCCUGACGGAGCAACGCCGCGUGAGUGAUGAAGGUCUUCGGAUCGUAAAACUCUGUUAUUAGGGAAGAACAAAUGUGUAAGUAACUAUGCACGUCUUGACGGUACCUAAUCAGAAAGCCACGGCUAACUACGUG